GAAAAACAUGUGAGAGUUGAAUUUUAUAUCCAAUUGAAUUGAAACCAUUUAGACUUCAGCACCUUCAAUUUCAUCUUGUAAUCGAAUGGUUGUUGUUAAGGUGUAGCCUUGUAGAGCUUCUUUCUGAAAUUAUGGAAUUUGAGUUUUCUUGAUUUGCUUUGUUUGUGUUAAUCUUUUCUAGUUAUGUGAUUUAAUCUUGUAAUUUUCAGAACGUUUUGUGCAGUUCUUUAAUGAGUUGCUGUAAUGAUGAUUUUGGUGCUGGCUUCAGAUUUGGCAAGGGUCAUGAAUUUGGUCGACGAAGCUGUUCCGGUGAACAUAAAUUAAUUGGGGAGAAAAAGUCAAUAUUCAAAUUGAAGGCAUUGAGGCUGGUGCAACAAUAACAUGGGACAUACUAGUAGGAGGAUGAAAAUUGGAGUACAGUGCAGAAUUUGUACCACAUAUUGAAGGCAAUUAAACCAUUAUUGUAAAGAAGCCAAGGAAAAUUUUAGCCAAUAAAGAGGCAAUUCACAACUCAUACACUUCACAGGAAGCUGAAAAAAUGGUACUUUCUGAGACAAUUUUUCCUCUCGCAAGAGAAAAGUUGCAGUCUAUCGAUACAUGGUCCUUAAAUCUGCAACAAUUUCAAUCGAAAAUGAAGGACGAAAACAUUCUUUUCGACUCACUUUAUCUAGGAGUGUUUUUUUUUUCUUUUUUCAUUUUGUUGAUGAAUGUUUGGACAAGUUAGUAGUAAUAUUAUCUUUAAAUGAUAGUGCGCUAGUAUGAUUCUAUUAAAAAAAAGUUUGAUUUCAAUUUGAAGAGAGAGUGGAGAGAUGGAGAAGAGAGAAAUGGAGAAGAGAGUUUCCCUGAUUUUAAUUUUUAUUUUUUUAAUAUUUAAUUUCUUAUGUGGCAUUUUAAAAAUGACGUGGAAUUUAAUAAAAUGACAUGAAAACUGACGUGUGCGAGUGUGUUACACUCACCAAAAAAGUGUUUAAAAUAUUGUUUUUUAGUGGGUUCAAGGGUCCAGAUGACAAACGUGUAAGUAAAAAUAUCCACAUUACAAAACAGACAUAGUAUAAGGGUUCAUCAAGUCAUUUUACCUUUAAAAUAUUAUGUUUUGAUGGGUAAAGAGUUUAAAAUAUUUUGUUUUGCCGAAAUAUUAUGUUUUGAUGGGUAAAGAGUUUAAAAUAUUUUGUUUUGCCGAAUUUAAGGGGAAAUAACAAAAAGAUAAGUAGAACUUUGCCAAUCAGUACAAGUGUCCACCAAAUCAUUUUGCCUUUACGAAAAAAAGAAGAAAUUCCUGUACCAGCGAGAUUCAGCAACGCAUGCAAAAUAAUCAACUUUUCCCAUCAACGAAGUGACCCCGUUUCACUGCUCUGGCUCCGCCCUGCAUGAAGAGGAAAAUAUACUACCAAAGUAUACAAAUUAUUCGCUAAACAGCUUAAAGAGCCAUUUUACGUCCAUUCUAAUAUCCUGAUCUUUUAGUCAGUCGACUAGCUGCAGCUAAACUUUCUAUGUAUAGAUUGAUGCAAUACAGAAAUUAUUCAGAAUGGAGAAGGACGUCUGCCAAAUAUCAUAAACAAAACCCAGUGAAGUCUAUUGUUUACAAGGGGUUACUGCGAAUGGCAACUGUGAGGCCACAAACAAACUAAGUAUCAAGUUCAGCUACUGCAGCUCCUUAAUGAAUUAUAAACCAAGUGCCAAUCAGCUUCAUAAAUCAAACAGAAGGCGUUUGUCAAUCAGAAUUAGAUUGCCACAGAUUUACUUCUCCUUGGUGUAGUAACGCACAGCAAAUGCUAAGCCCAAAAUCAAGA